rnacentral:misc_RNA from 1 species
AAGGAGCACCAUUUCCCAGUCGAAUGAACUAGGGAACAUUAAAGUAGGUAUCUGUAGUGGAUAUCUACUUGGUGAAUAUGUUUUGUAAAUCCUGUCCACCCCGUGGAUGGGUAGUCGGCAAAACGUCGGACUGUCAUAAGAAUUGAAACGCUGGCACACUGUUGGGUCCUGAGGCAACACGUUGUGUUGUCACCCUGCUUGGUGGUGGGGUGUGGACUUUGACUUCUGAAUAGUGGUUGCGAGCAUCUAAACAUAGCCUCGCUCGUUUUCGAGUGGGGCUGGUUUUUGCAAUUUUAUUAGCUAAGUUCUUAAGGGCGCAUGGUGAAUGCCUUGGCACUAGAAGCCGAUGAAGGACGUGGGAGGCU